rnacentral:rRNA from 1 species
GGACCCGCACAAGUAGUGGAGCAUGUGGUUUAAUUCGAAGAUACGCGCAGAACCUUACCAACACUUGACAUGUUCGUCGCGACUCUAAGAGAUUAGAGUUUUCGGUUCGGCCGGACGAAACACAGGUGCUGCAUGGCUGUCGUCAGCUCGUGUCGUGAGAUGUUGGGUUAAGUCCCGCAACGAGCGCAACCCUCACUUUUAGUUGCCAUCAUUAAGUUGGGCACUCUGAAAGAACUGCCAGUGAUAAGCUGGAGGAAGGUGGGGAUGACGUCAAAUCAUCACGGCCCUUACGUCCUGGGCUACACACGUGCUACAAUGGCCGGUACAGAGAGCAGCCACUUCGCAAGAAGGAGCG